GACGAACGCUGGCGGCGUGCUUAACACAUGCAAGUCGAACGGUGAAGCGCCUUCCUUUUUGGUGGGUGUGGAUGAGUGGCGAACGGGUGAGUAACACGUGAGUAACCUGCCCCCUUCUUCUGGAUAACCGCAUGAAAGUGUGGCUAAUACUGGAUAUUCUGGGUCUGUCGCAUGAUGGGUCUGGGAAAGAUAUUGUUUCGGUGGGGGAUGGGCUCGCGGCCUAUCAGCUUGUUGGUGGGGUGAUGGCCUACCAAGGCGGUGACGGGUAGCCGGCCUGAGAGGGUGGACGGUCACAUUGGGACUGAGACACGGCCCAGACUCCGACGGGAGGCAGCAGUGGGGAAUAUUGCACACUGGGCGUAAGCCUGAUGCAGCGACGCCGCGUGAGGGAUGGAGGCCUUCGGGUUGUGAACCUCUUUCGCCAGUGAAGCAGGCCUGCCUCGUUUGUGGGUGGGUUGAGGGUAGCUGGAUAAGAAGCGCCGGCUAGCUACGUG
rnacentral:rRNA from 1 species